CUCAGUCUAAAAAAAAAAAAAGAUAAAAAGAUAAAAAGACAGCCAUUACUGGCACAACAUAAAUGGUAAUAAUCACUAUCAUUUAUUGAGCACUUACUGGGUGCUAGGUACUGUUCCAAGGAAUUUAAUGUUUAAUCUACCAACAAGUAUGGAAGAGACCAAAUUCAUUUCUUUUUCCUCCUAGACACAGAGACUUCAUUUCUCAGCCUGCUUUGACAUAAGUGGGUCCGGGGUAUUGUGCAAAGUGUAUUGCCUUUAGGUCUGAUCCAUAACCCCUCCCCUCAUCCACCCAGCUCUUCUCCAGAUGAUCUUCCUCUAUCUGGCAGUUAGCAGAACCACAAAAUGGAAGGAACAUGAACUGAAUUUCCAUGUGGAAGGUUGCCCAUUGAAUACUCAUUUGGACUAUUUUACACGUGGAGUCAACCUUUAUUAUACUAAGCCAGGAAGAUUCAAGGGUUCAUCUGUUAAAGCAGCUAGAGUCCCUACCUAAUUGCACAAGCCCACAAGUAGUGCUAUUACUAUUGUCAUUUUCAAAUAAGGCUUUUCAAGCAGAGAGUAGCUUUCCCAAGGCCUCAACGAGUAAGUACCAGAGUCAAGAUUCAAAUCCAAGCCAUUUGGUGCCAAAGCCUAUGCUGGUAGCCACUAGUUCUCUCCUAUAAGGAGUAGUGGGGAUGAAUGAGAUAAUGCAUACACAGUGUUAGCAUAGUGAAGGAAGCAUGGCCACUGUUAAAUAAAGUCAACUCAAUGUACUUGUUCAUGAUUAUUAUGAAUGUCCUGAGGUCCUUCGUAGACUCUUCUUCCAGUCCCAUCCUGAUGCCCCAACCCUCAAUGUGGGGGCACAUUUCUGUCACCUGAAGAAAAGGAGCCAUGAAAAAAUAGGCAAAUUUGUAUUCUAAUAAACCCUAACUCACACCUAUUAUGUGUCUCUGACCAACUAUAGGGAAUAAAAUAUUUGCUACCUUUCUGCUGUCUUUUUCUGUGUGAUUAUAGCUAUAUAUUGAGGUUUCAUGUGCAAAUUGGGGCAAUGUAUGUAUGUGUUGCUUGUAGAACAGGUCUAUUUGCACUGUGGUAAAAUUACAGAUCUGUCCUGGUCUGGGUUUUUUAUCACCAGAUUGAAAGAACCUCUUCAUACGUAUGUGUAUCAAUUUGGAAGUUAGGGGAAUAGCUAAUAUGAUAGAAGACAAAACCCAGACUUCAACUGUUCUCAACAGGCUGGAAUGAUGGGCAAGAGCCAGGAAGAAAUUUAAUAGAGAAAAAUAAAUGGCAGAAUUUUAGAAGAAAAGACCUUAUAGGUCAUUGACUG
rnacentral:lncRNA from 10 species